GGUCCGGUGGUGUAGUGGUAACCACACCUGCUUUAUUUAUGGGAAUAAAGAGAUGCUUCAGGAGGAGUCUCUCGUUCGAUUCGAGGCCAGGCCG